AAUGUCUGGUCAGGGGUGGUUUAUUUUGGGGUUCAGAAGCUGAAGAAAUGAGGAUUUUUGAUGUCUGAUUGGGGGUAAAUCAGGUUCACAAGUUGCCGGAAUAAAGGUUGUUGAUGUCUGGUAGGAGGUGUUAGUUUGGGGUUCAGAAGUUGCCAGAAUAAAGGCCGUUGAUGUCAGGUUGGAGGUGUUAGUUUGGGGUUCAGAAGUUGCCGUAACGAAGGAUGUUGAUGUCUGGUCGGGGGUGUUAGUUUGGGGUUCAGAAGUUGCCAGAAUAAAGGCAGUUGAUGUCUGGUAGGAGGUGUUAGUUUGGGGUUCAGAAGUUGCCAGAAUAAAGGCCGUUGAUGUCAGGUCGGAGGUGUUAGUUUGGGGUUCAGAAGUUGCCGGAAUAAAGGCAGUUGAUGUCAGGUCGGAGGUGUUAGUUUGGGGUUCAGAAGUUGCCGGAAUAAAGGCCGUUGAU